rnacentral:rRNA from 1 species
UAAGUUAUCGUUUAUUUGAUAGUACCUUACUACUUGGAUAACCGUGGUAAUUCUAGAGCUAAUACAUGCUAAAAAUCCCGACUUCGGAAGGGAUGUAUUUAUUAGAUUAAAAACCAAUGCCCUCUGGGCUCUUUGGUGAUUCAUGAUAACUUCUCGAAUCGCACGGCCCUUGCGCCGGCGAUGGUUCAUUCAAAUUUCUUCCCUAUCAACUUUCGAUGUUUGGGUAUUGGCCAAACAUGGUUGCAACGGGUAACGGAGGGUUAGGGCUCGACCCCGGAGAAGGAGCCUGAGAAACGGCUACUACAUCCAAGGAAGGCAGCAGGCGCGCAAAUUACCCAAUCCCGACACGGGGAGGUAGUGACAAUAAAUACUGAUACAGGGCUCUUUUGGGUCUUGUAAUUGGAAUGAGUACAAUUUAAAUCCCUUAACGAGGAACAAUUGGAGGGCAAGUCUGGUGCCAGCAGCCGCGGUAAUUCCAGCUCCAAUAGCGUAUAUUAAAGUUGUUGUGGUUAAAAAGCUCGUAGUUGAACCUUGGGCCUGGCUGGCCGGUCCGCCUCACCGCGUGUACUGGUCCGGCCGGGCCUUUCCCUCUGUGGAACCUCAUGCCCUUCACUGGGUGUGACGGGGAAACAGGACUUUUACUUUGAAAAAAUUAGAGUGCUCCAGGCAGGCCUAUGCUCGAAUACAUUAGCAUGGAAUAAUAAAAUAGGACGUGUGGUUCUAUUUUGUUGGUUUCUAGGACCGCCGUAAUGAUUAAUAGGGACAGUCGGGGGCAUCAGUAUUCAAUUGUCAGAGGUGAAAUUCUUGGAUUUAUUGAAGACUAACUACUGCGAAAGCAUUUGCCAAGGAUGUUUUCAUUAAUCAGGAACGAAAGUUAGGGGAUCGAAGACGAUCAGAUACCGUCGUAGUCUUAACCAUAAACUAUGCCGACUAGGGAUCGGACGAUGUUAUUUUU